UUGGGUGUGACUGCGUACCUUUUGUAUAAUGGGUCAGCGACUUAUAUUCUGUAGCAAGGUUAACCGAAUAGGGGAGCCGGAGGGAAACCGAGUCUUAACCGGGCGUUAAGUUGCAGGGUAUAGACCCGAAACCCGGUGAUCUAGCCAUGGGCAGGUUGAAGGUUGGGUAACACUAACUGGAGGACCGAACCGACUAAUGUUGAAAAAUUAGCGGAUGACCUGUGGCUGGGGGUGAAAGGCCAAUCAAACCGGGAGAUAGCUGGUUCUCCCCGAAAGCUAUUUAGGUAGCGCCUCGUGAAUUCAUCUCCGGGGGUAGAGCACUGUUUCGGCUAGGGGGCCAUCCCGGCUUACCAACCCGAUGCAAACUGCGAAUACCGGAGAAUGUUAUCACGGGAGACACACGGCGGGUGCUAACGUCCGUCGUGAAGAGGGAAACAACCCAGACCGCCAGCUAAGGUCCCAAAGUCAUGGUUAAGUGGGAAACGAUGUGGGAAGGCCCAGACAGCCAGGAUGUUGGCUUAGAAGCAGCCAUCAUUUAAAGAAAGCGUAAUAGCUCACUGGUCGAGUCGGCCUGCGCGGAAGAUGUAACGGGGCUAAACCAUGCACCGAAGCUGCGGCAGCGACACUGUGUGUUGUUGGGUAGGGGAGCGUUCUGUAAGCCUGUGAAGGUGUGUCG
rnacentral:rRNA from 1 species